rnacentral:rRNA from 1 species
CCUACGGGUGGCAGCAGUGGGGAAUAUUGCACAAUGGGGGAAACUCUGAUGCAGCGACGCCGCGUGAGUGAAGAAGUAAUUCGUUACGUAAAGCUCUAUCAGCAGGGAAGAAACACUGACCUUACGGUCAGCCGACGGUUCCCGAUUUAGAAGCCCCGGCUAACUACGUGCCAGCAGCCGCGGGAAUACGUAGGGGGCAAGCGUCAUCCGGAUUUACUGGGUGUAAAGGGAGCGUAGACGGUGCGCCAAGUCUGGAGUGAAAUGUCGCAGCUUAACUGCGGAACGGCUUUGGAAACUGGAGAACUAGAGUGCGGGAGAGGUAAGCGGAAUUCCUAGUGUAGCGGUGAAAUGCGUAGAUAUUAGGAGGAACACCGGUGGCGAAGGCGGCUUACUGGACCGUAACUGACGUUGAGGCUCGAAAGCGUGGGGAGCAAACAGGAUUAGAUACCCGUGUAGUC